CAGCCGCCGCGGUAAUACAGAGGAUGCAAGCGUUAUCCGGAAUGAUUGGGCGUAAAGCGUCUGUAGGUGGCUUUUCAAGUCCGCCGUCAAAUCCCAGGGCUCAACCCUGGACAGGCGGUGGAAACUACCAAGCUGGAGUACGGUAGGGGCAGAGGGAAUCUCCGGUGGAGCGGUGAAAUGCGUUGAGAUCGGAAAGAACACCAACGGCGAAAGCGCUCUGCUGGGCCGACACUGACACUGAGAGACGAAAGCUAGGGGAGCAAAUGGGAUUAGAUACCCGCGUAGUCCCUGUCUCUUAUAC
rnacentral:rRNA from 1 species